rfam:Ailuropoda melanoleuca scaffold117_17, whole genome shotgun sequence.
GCCUGGCUGGCUCAGUCGGUAGAGCACGCGACUCUCGAUCUCAGGGUUGUGAGUUCAAGUCCCACGUUGGGUG